rnacentral:lncRNA from 1 species
UUCUAUAUUCUUAUUGCCCAAAAAUGAACAGAAUAUUUACAUUAAACAGUAAAGUCCUAAGCAAGAUGGCUGCAUUACUGCGCGAAAUAGUGGCAUCCUGGUAAAAUGACGCAAACCAUAGUUUACGUUCAGUGAAGUGGUAAUACGGUUUCCAUCCACACGCUGUAGCGCCAGCUCCCGCCUGACUGUCUGCGUAAAGCUCGGCGAAUCUCAAGUGGACCGAGAGGAAUUGGUUCAGUAAACGUUCUCUUUUGUUGUUCCUUGACUCGGGCUGUGAUUGCCUGGCGCUUUCCUUCCUGUGUCUUGGGGUUCGGCUCUCGGACAUGUCUCUGUUAGACAAAUCUGCAUGCGUCAGGAGAAAGGAGACUAUAGGGGAAAUGGAGUACUAUAGUAGUUCUCCCAAACAGAGGAGCUGUUAUUUGUACAUCGUCCCCCACAGCCACUUCUUCUCGUGCCCACUACAAUGGAGAGAGAAUGAGAAGAGGUGCUCCAAGCAGAACAUGAAAAUGGAGAUGUGCACAAAGAACAAUAACACCACACUCAGAAGAGGUGAGAGUGCGAUGAGGAGAGGAGCCAGAGAGUGAGGCGAUGGGCUGCACCUCUGCUAAGCAGGUGUCGGCCGUGCCCAGCGAUGAGGAGGGCCGGGGCAAGGCCUACAGCAACGGAGACCUCUUCACCGACGAGUACAAGAUGAAGGGAGUGGAGGAGGUGAAGUACAUGCGUGGAGAGGAGGACCGGGUGAACGCACGCAACCAGGAGAACCUGGUGAGAGAGGAGCGACCACACACACACACACACACACACGUAGUCUGACUGUUCAUCAACACACAGAAAACACACCGUCCUCUUUGACAUUCAAUCAACACAUGCAAACAGACAGCGUUUGUGCUAAAUGCACCCAUCCACAGAAGCCCCCCCCACCCAACACACACAGCCACGGUGCCUCCCGAGCAGGUAGAGACAACAUGUAGGCCUGUAUGGAAUGUGGGAGUUUCACUAAAGGCUGUUUUAACCCCUUCCUUCAUGGCCUAUAUUUUGUGAGCAAUAGCUACGAUUUAUUCUUUCCUACAAACAAUAAAAUAACCCGGGGAAAAAGUGCACACCCUUUUGGAUGAGGUAACGAUUGAAGGAAAGGAAUCAAAAGUCGAGAGGAAUGAAAGUCCUACCCAACUAUUGAUUGAUUUGUCAUUUCAGUGUCUCUCUAUUCCACCAUUGUUGUGAAUGUGCUGCCGUCGUCAUAGUCACAUUAGUUUCAACAUAUGCGACAGCUGGCUUAAAACAUGCAGCAGAACAAAUGUCAUUUUCAGAAGUGACUUUUACUCUUUUUAGAAAGCUUAACGGGAACUACUCACAGGGGACUGUUUCUCACAGACGCACAUUUUAAUCCUGCCGAGUCAAAGUGCACACACACCAACAAAUAGAUUUAUAUCCAUGAAAUGCCUGUAGUGAGCAUCCGCAGUAGCAGAGUGAUCUGACGGCUGUGGAGAAGGCAGCUCCUAGUUUAAAACAUGCUAGACCCUUGGCAUGCCGUGCUCCUCCAACGCACAGCCAGCACCUCUAAUGAUCCAGGCCUGUGAGGAGGUUUUUCCCCUGGUCAGUCCCUUUUAGCAUCCCAGCCAGCGUCUGGGUCCAGGCAAGAGCAGGGCAAACCAGGCUCUCAUGCAUGAGGCCUACAUCUACAUGGCAGCCUGUCUCUUCCCAGCACCAAGGCUCCAGCAGCAGGGGUAGGCAGCCUGUCUCUUCCCAGCACCAAGGCUCCUGCAGCAGGGGUAGGCAGCCUGUCUCUUCCCAGCACCAAGGCUCCAGCAGCAGGGGUAGGCAGCCUGUCUCUUCCCAGCACCAAGGCUCCAGCAGCAGGGGUAGGCAGCCUGUCUCUUCCCAGCACCAAGGCUCCAGCAGCAGGGGUAGGCAGCCUGUCUCUUCCCAGCACCAAGGCUCCAGCAGCAGGGGUAGGCAGCCUGUCUCUUCCCAGCACCAAGACUCCAGCAGCAGGGGUAGGCAGCCUGUCUCUUCCCAGCACCAAGACUCCAGCAGCAGGGGUAGGCAGCCUGUCUCUUCCCAGCACCAAGGCUCCAGCAGCAGGGGUAGGCAGCCUGUCUCUUCCCAGCACCAAGGCUCCAGCAGCAGGGGUAGGCAGCCUGUCUCUUCCCAGCCUUAGGGCCACAGCUGGGCCUGGUAACUCUUACCUCCCGCCACAGACCUGUCAGUCCCCUUAACCAUAAGGACACACAACACAGCAGGGGACGGAUGUUUCCAACCUUAGGGCCCUGGCUGGUAGGGCAGGGAGAUGUUCUCCCCCCAGGCCUGCUACAUGGGCAGAUUGGGGUUCGGGGGGCUCUGUGUAUAGUGUCGGGGGUCAGAACUAUGAGCUGAUCUGUGUGUUUCAGGAGAAGACCUCUUUACAGUACAGGGGGAAACCGCACAAAGAAGGCUCUGGAGCCAACGCCAACAGGACAAAUAUCCACACAUCAGAGAGCCAGCAGGAGUUCUUCAGGAUGUUGGAUGAGAAGAUUGAGAAGGGACUGGACUACUGUUCAGAGGAAGAAGAGGCAGAGGAUGGGACAUAGCAAACAAGGCCUGACUCAACCCCCUACAGAGAGCCUCCCAGAGUGUGUGCGAGUGCAUGUUCGUCUGAAUCAGUGUGUGUAUGUUCCACUGCCUUUGUAUGUGAUUCUGUAUGUGUCUGUGUGAGCAUGUAGGUUUUUGGUGUGUGAAAGAGCGAUGGAUAGCUAUUCUCAAAGACUGUUGCCCCCCUCUUGGCUGUCGUCCCAUUGGGCCCCUGAGUGGAUUACUGGAGGGAGAGACGAACGAGGAGACAUACAGACAGACAUGUGGACUCACUACCCUGCAGGACUAUGGAGAGAUGCACAUGGAGACAGACAAACGGACAUGUGGACUCACUGCCCUGCAGGACUAUGGAGAGACCCUCCCCUCUAUCCCAACUACCACCCCAGUGAACUGUACUGUGGUCCCUGGUCCAGCUUUGUGUAUACCACCCCCUCAUCACUACAACAUGGAGAAGGAGGACGGACAGAGGAAGAAUGAGCCUUACGGCAGUCUGGGAGACACCCUCCUGGCUUCCACCCUCCAUGGCCCUGACUACUGUGCUUUGCCUGUGAGGAGCAGAGAUGUGGAUAGAGAAAGAGGGGUGCUGGGGAGGGGGUGGUACUUCCAUAACCCCCAUCACAGAGGCUCGCUGCUGCAGUGGGCCAGAGAGGAUCCGAGAGAGGGAAGGGGUAGGGGGA